rnacentral:rRNA from 1 species
GAUGAACGCUGGCGGCGUGCCUAAUACAUGCAAGUCGAGCGAACAGACGAGGAGCUUGCUCCUCUGACGUUAGCGGCGGACGGGUGAGUAACACGUGGAUAACCUACCUAUAAGACUGGGAUAACUUCGGGAAACCGGAGCUAAUACCGGAUAAUAUAUUGAACCGCAUGGUUCAAUAGUGAAAGACGGUUUUGCUGUCACUUAUAGAUGGAUCCGCGCCGCAUUAGCUAGUUGGUAAGGUAACGGCUUACCAAGGCAACGAUGCGUAGCCGACCUGAGAGGGGGAUCGGCCACACUGGAACUGAGACACGGUCCAGACUCCUACGGGAGGCAGCAGUAGGGAAUCUUCCGCAAUGGGCGAAAGCCUGACGGAGCAACGCCGCGUGAGUUAUGAAGGUCUUCGGAUCGUAAAACUCUGUUAUUAGGGAAGAACAAAUGUGUAAGUAACUAUGCACGUCUUGACGGUACCUAAUCAGAAAGCCACGGCUAACUACGUG